AGCCAUCAAGUCACAAAAAUAUGGAAAUAUCUAUGGCUUGGAGCAUGAAAAUCAACAUAUGUAGUCAUCAUGCAUUUUUUGGAGGAUAGGCUAAACAAACUCUGUCACUUCUGCCUUGCACUGGAACCCGCUUUCUCUUUUAGGGAUCACUCUGCCGUUUCCUAUUAGCGUUAGCAGUGCUCCAAAUUGCAAAACCUUCAGAUUAACAUGCCGAAUCCUGUCAUUUUUCCCACAGGCUGUCUGGCAAUGAUAAUCCACUAAAGGAUUGUUUCAUCCGAGUGGCGGUGUCCAAGUCAAACGCUGGCAACAGGCAGGGGAACCCAAACCUGUUGAGGCAGACUUCUGCCGCCCUGUGAGGAAUACGGAGCGACAGGCUGCAGGGGCGGGAGGCAAGGGACACGCUAUGCCCAAGCAGGGCGAGUCCAUGGGCUGUGCCCAUGAUGGAAGACCACGACUGCCAUCAUGAUAGCUGGAAGUUUGUGGGCCACGACGCCGAUCCUGGUCAGAGCGGGCCUGGGGCUGCGCUUGUUGGAGCAGUGCCUUGUCAGAUUAGCCAUACGGUUGCUGUGUGCAAUUCUCAACCUGGACAGACAGGCCUGCCAGGCAGAAACUGCUCAGGCAGAUGAUGCUGGGGAGGACAAAAAUUAUCCACCGCAAGACUAAGAAGACAGAUGACACCCAGCAGGAAUGGCGAGCCAAAUCAUCAGAAUCCACAAUACAGCUGGCUAGCCCUAGGCUACCUGCCUCUUUGAAGUGGAAGAGACAUCACCGAUGAGCUGUCAAAUUAGAUCACCAGCCUGGAAACGCUGAAAGAGAUUUAGUUCUUCCAGCAGAGAAGGGGAAGUGUAAUAGAUGAAAAUCUUCCUAAAGGGGCCAAGGCUAACAGGUAGGAUAUGCCAGCAUCCAGGUUUUGUGCAUUUUACCCAAAGAAUCACUGGCAAGUCAGUUGAUUUCAAGAGAUUUUCACCUACUCAGAGUGGACAGUGAAGAAAAGUAACUAAACUUGUUUGACUCAACCACUUCUGCUGUUAACUGGAAGCAAUACCUACGUUACCUGCCUGCCUCAUAGCACAACACUUGAAAGUCUGUUUGAACGUGGCUUGCUUGCAAGUGAUGGCCAACCUGGUAUUAAGGUGAAAAAGACAAGUCAAAGUGGGGUAAGUGUAAGAUCCCACUGAACACUUAUAAUUAUCAUAUUUAUUUCACUGUUG
rnacentral:lncRNA from 1 species